rnacentral:rRNA from 1 species
CCUACGGGUGGCAGCAGUGGGGAAUAUUGGACAAUGGGCGAAAGCCUGAUCCAGCCAUGCCGCGUGUGUGAAGAAGGCCUUCGGGUUGUAAAGCACUUUCAGUGGGGAAGAAAGCCUUGGGGCUAAUACCCUCGAGGAAGGACAUCACCCACAGAAGAAGCACCGGCUAACUCCGUGCCAGCAGCCGCGGUAAUACGGAGGGUGCGAGCGUUAAUCGGAAUUACGGGGCGUAAAGCGCGCGUAGGCGGUCUGAUAAGCCGGUUGUGAAAGCCCCGGGCUCAACCUGGGAACGGCAUCCGGAACUGUCAGGAUAGAGUGCAGGAGAGGAAGGUAGAAUUCCCGGUGUAGCGGUGAAAUGCGUAGAGAUCGGGAGGAAUACCAGUGGCGAAGGCGGCCUUCUGGACUGACACUGACGCUGAGGUGCGAAAGCGUGGGUAGCAAACAGGAUUAGAUACCCCGGUAGUC